rnacentral:rRNA from 1 species
GAUCCUGGCUCAGGAUGAACGCUAGCUACAGGCUUAACACAUGCAAGUCGAGUGGCAGCAUGAACUUAGCUUGCUAAGUUUGAUGGCGACCGGCGCACGGGUGAGUAACACGUAUCCAACCUGCCGAUGACUCGGGGAUAGCCUUUCGAAAGAAAGAUUAAUACCCGAUGGCAUAAUUUCUUCCGCAUGGUAGAACUAUUAAAGGAUUUCGGUCAUCGAUGGGGAUGCGUUCCAUUUAGG